CAUUGAAGUUCAGCAUGGAAUAGUAAAAGGGUUGGCAAAAUGCUCAUCAAAGUCCAGUACCGUGGACUAAAAAAAGUACCUCAAACUGCAUCCUGGUUUUUCUUAUGAAAGUUUCAUUGAAGAAGAAUUUGUGCCAGCAGGUUCUUCUACUCUAAUUUCUUCAAGUGAUAUGGAGAGGUCCUCUUCAAACAAGGGACAUCAAUCUCCUGGUGCAGGAGAGAACACCUCUGCCAUAGGGGAUGCAGCAGAAAAGGCCAAAUGAUGGUCCAGGAGGUUCUGGAGAAGAGUUCAGGGGGAGAGGAAACAAUGGAGGAAUAUAAGAGAUUGAGCACCGUGACAUACUGCACAAGACGGCAUCAUAUCCUGGUCAGCCACAUUGUUGAAAUGCAUGGGUAUGUUUUGUUUUGUAAUGUGAAAAAACAAAGUAGAAGCAUUAUUGUGCACAUAUAGCCUCUCACACAACUUGCCUGCAGCGUGACA